AACGGAAAUGAGGUACAGAGAAUGAGCUAGCACUGAAAUAUAGAUUGGUAAAAGUUCCAGGUUCACUUCUAUGCCUCAGCUCAAUUUGUGGGUAGUUUUCUUAAGACAGAAGUAAGAAAAUUCAAGAAAAAAAGAGUAACUGAGGUGCGGUACAGAGAAUAAACUAGCAUUGAAAUAUAGAUUGAUAAAAGUUCCAGGUUCACUUCUAUGCUUCAGUUCAAUUUGCAGGUAGUUUUCUUAGACAGGAGUAAGAAAAAUCAAGAAAAAAGACUAUGCUGUGUAACUGAGGUGAGGUACAGAGAAUAAUCUAGCAUUGAAAUAUAGAUUGGUAAAAGUUCCAGGUUCAGUUCUAUGCCUAAGCUCAAUUUGUGGUUAGUUUUCUUAAGAUGAAGUAAGAAAAAUCAAGAAAAAAGACUAUGCUGUGUAACUGAGGUGAGGUACAGAGAAUAAACUAGCUUUGAAAUGUAGAUUGAUUGAUUAAAGUUCCAGGUUCAGUUCUAUGCCUCAGCUCAAUUUGUGGGUAGUUUUCUUAAGACAGGAGUAAGAAAAUUCAAGAAAAAAAACUAUGCUGUGUGGGGUAACUGAGGCGAGGUACAGAGAAUAAACUAGCUUUGAAAUAUAGAUUGAUAAAAGUUCCAAGUUCACUUAUACACCUCAACUCAACUUGCGAGUACUUUUCUUAGAUAGGGGUAAGAAAAUUAGAAAAAAAAUAUAUACUGUGUGGGUAACUAAUUGAAGAUAGAGUUGAAAUGAAGAGUGUUAGCCGUUCUGAGUUCCCUUUCAACACCUCACCUCAAUUUUCCAGUUUUUCUGUCGUUUUGUUUUCUUUUCCAGACGGAAGUGAGUAUCUCCAGCAAGUCCCAGCCACUGUCUAAGGCACACAGCUCCCUUGAUAGGACGCUACCUCUCACCUCCUUGCUGUACUGUAUACCUUUAACGUGUCUUCUGUUUGUCACGAGUUACCAUUAAUUCAAGUUGUCUCUAUGGGAAGCCAGCAGCCGAGAGGUGACUCCCUUGACCCAUGGAUAGGAGUAGGCGUGGGACAACUGUGUAUUCUUACGAGCAAUGCUUUAGACAGUGGCUGGAACGGAGCACAGUCUUAGGGUCACAUUCUUAAACCUUUCGGGCCCCAAGCACACAUACUUGACAAGGGUACCAUAGAAGUUGUAAGCAUUUCCAGGGGUAGUUUUAUGACCCUGGUGGUAGCAUAUUCUUAAACCUUUCAAGCCACAAGCACACAUAUUUGACAAGGGUACCAUAGAAGUUGUAGGCAUUUCCAGGGGUAGCCUUAUGACCCUGGACUGUGACGGAAGGGUGCGUACAGAUUGCCCAGCAGCCUCGGUGGACAUAUUCGGUUGGCCGAUUGAUAGACACACUAACAUAACAUCAGUUGACCAAUUAUCAUACAAAACAGGCUACAUAAUGCAACAAUGGUAGGCUGAAGAAAGCUAUUGAUACAUAUAUACACUGCUCAUGUAGGUGUGUGUGUGUGUGUGUGUGUGUGUGUGUGUUUACGCUUUACAUAAACUGCUCUAAUAGAAUAUAUAAUGACACUAUGUAUAAACAAUCAAAAACAGAAUAAACAAACUAACGUAUGUACAAUGCUGGGUUGUUUUUUUUUUCUUUUACUUCCGGGUGUAUUCACAGCGGUAAUACUAUUCUGCUCUGAAACAAUGUCUGUCACGCCCCCAUGGAAGAGGCCGGGGGGGGGAGGGGAGGAGGGAGUAGGGAGUAGCAGAUAAAAAAGGGGAAGGGAAGGGAAAGGACAGGAAGGGAAGGGAAGGGACGAGAGAAGAAGGGAAGGGAUGGGAAGGGAAGGGAAGGGACGGGAAGGGAAGGGAAGGGAUGGGAAGGGAAGAGAAGGGAUGAGAAAAGAAGGGAAGGGACGAGAGAAGAAGGGAAGGGACAGGAAGGGAAGGGAAGGGAAGGGAAGGGAAAGGAAGAGAGAAAAAGGGAAGAGAAGGGAAGGGAAUUGAAAGGGAUGUAAACAGGGCUAGGAGAACCCAGACAACCCACGUAAGGGGAGAGAAUCUUGUGGUUAUGCAUAAGGCGCGUGUAUAAACAACUACUACCAGACUGGCUACUUCAGGGGAUCCACACAUUGAAAAAGGUGAUUAUAAGACACAGACUGAUGGUACACACACACACUCUGCUCUAGGGAUGACGGUGAAGGCUUAGCUCCAUAUCCUUAAACAUAUCAGGCUCCCAUUGCGACCAUUUCCCAAGGCCACAGAGAAGAUUAGCCGGGUUUUCGUGGGUGUUUUCCCGUUCAAGGUCCAGAAGUCAGGUAAAACUAUCCCUGGAGUCACAAAACCAUCCAUGAAAAUCCCAGCAACUUCCACGAGGCUUUCCAAACUGGUGAGCUGAGGCGCCGAUACAUUUAAGAAUAUGGACUAGAGAUUCUAUGGCCUGUCCCAGCGGCGCCAACAGCAAUGCUCUCGUCGACAGCUCCGUUCCUAUACCAAUAACAUUUUGACCCUUCAUGUGCAGUGCCAUUUAAAAGUACUAAAGGGAGAAAAAAAGGAAGAUAAAGGGGAGGAAAGGGAAGAGAGGGGACAGGAAUUAAGAGAAUAGAGAGAGAGAGAGAGAGAGAGAGAGAGAGAGAGAGAGAGAGAGAGAGAGAGA